AUGAUUACAGCAAGAAAAAACAGCUUUAAUGUUCAUUUGAUCCUGACCUUUAAAUGCAAAAUGUAACGUUAGCUUGACUUAAGGAAGGUUUAAACCUUAAAAGCUAUUUGUUAGCCACAGCUAACGUAGCCGAGGCUAACUGGAGCAUUUUAGCAUUAGUAUUAAUGUGUUCCAUACUGAACUGAUACUGGACAAACUUUGUUCCGUAUUUUUGAGAAUCAAUCAGUGAUUUCCCUCCAGUUCCACCAUCAAUGCCGUCGGCGUUCCGUGUUUCCGUUUCAGGAAGUUGGCGAGCCUCGUGGUCGUAGCGUUAAACCGUCCCGACCUUCCCGUGUUCUGGUCUGUGUGAAUGAUGUAAAGCCUGACAGCGUCUCAUUUACUGUAUCUACAGUCACCUGCUGAUCAUCAGCUUUCACUUUCAUUGAUUGUUUUUCCAGGUGCAGCAGUCGUCUGGAUGUUUGGGGGGGAAGCAGGAGUCACUCUGAUAAAGAGUGAACCUGCGUUGUCACGGUAACCAAGGUCAUGGCGAUGACCCCGAGACUCCCCAGACACCACAGACAGGUAUUCAACAUGUGAACUUGUAACCUGUCUGAGAUCGUCUGCAGCUUCUGUCUGACUCUCAUUCAGAUCAUUGAGACGAGAACGUCAGCUGAUUAUUAUUUAUGUUAUUUCUGUCUGCAGACUUCAUUGUGUCUGUUUGUCAGAGUGAACAUGUUUUAGUUAUUAUUCAUGUUGAGCUGCAUGACUCUAACGACCUGCUUUACAGGAAAAUGUCAAAUACAGUCAAAUAUAUAUUCUUUUAAUUAUCAUGUUAUUAAAGGUAUCAUGCAUCAGUG